UACGGGGGGGGCAAGCGUUGUUCGGAAUUACUGGGCGUAAAGGGCUCGUAGGCGGCCAACUAAGUCGGACGUGAAAUCCCUCGGCUUAACCGGGGAACUGCGUCUGAUACUGGAUGGCUGGAGUGUGGGAGAGGGAUGCGGAAUUCCAGGUGUAGCGGUGAAAUGCGUAGAUAUCUGGAGGAACACCGGUGGCGAAGGCGGCAUCCUGGACCAUUACUGACACUGAAAAGCGAAAGCCAGGGGAGCAAACGGG
rnacentral:rRNA from 1 species